rnacentral:rRNA from 1 species
GUGAGGAAUAUUGCGCAAUGGAGGCAACUCUGACGCAGCCAUGCCGCGUGCAGGAAGAAGGCGCUACGCGUUGUAAACUGCUUUUAACCGGGAAGAAACCCCAGGACGUGUCCUGGGUUGACGGUACCGGAGGAAUAAGCACCGGCUAACUUCGUGCCAGCAGCCGCGGUAAUACGAAGGGUGCAAGCGUUAUCCGGAUUCAUUGGGUUUAAUGGGUGCGUAGGCGGAGCGUUAAGUCAGUGGUGAAAUCCUGCAGCUUAACUGUAGACUUGCCAUUGAUACUGGCGCUCUUGAGUGCGCUUGAAGUGGGCGGAAUGUGCCGUGUAGCGGUGAAAUGCUUAGAUAUGGCACAGAACACCAAUUGCGAAGGCAGCUCACUAAGGCGAUACUGACGCUGAGGCACGAAAGCGUGGGGAUCGAACAGGAUUAGAAACCCCUGUAGUCC